GGGAAAAGCCCAGCACCGAAUCCCGCGGCCGACAACCGACGCCGGGAAAUGUGGUGUUCGGGAGGGUCCGCCAUCCCGAGACCGUGCGGUGCGUCCAAGUCCUUCUUGAACGGGGCCACUUACCCAGAGAGGGUGCCAGGCCCGUAGGGACCGCCGCCGAUCGCGGGAGGACUUCUCCUCAGAGUCGGGUUGCUUGAGAGUGCAGCCCUAAGCGGGUGGUAAACUCCAUCUAAGGCUAAAUAUGACCACGAGACCGAUAGCGAACAAGUACCGUGAGGGAAAGUUGAAAAGAACUUUGAAGAGAGAGUUCAAUAGUACGUGAAACCGUUCAGGGGUAAACCUGAGAAACCCGAAAGAUCGAAUGGGAAGAUUCAGCGCGUCCUCGGUUCGGCGAGCCGCGGUGUCUCGCGACGGGCGUCGUUCGCGGCGCCCGCGCGCUCCGCGGCCGCGUCCGUUCCGGAACGCGUGCACUUCUUCCCUAGUAGGACGUCGCGACCCGUCGGGUGUCGGCCUGAGGCCCGCGGUGGAGCCCGCGCGGACGGUUCGCCGUCCGCUCGGACCCGCGGUCGCCCGGCCGACUCGCCCGACGGUUUGACAGAGGCGUCGGGCCGCGACUCGUUCGCGUUCGGCCCGUCGCAAGCGCGGACGGUAACCCGGCGGUCGGACCUAGCGCCGACUCCGGGCCCGCCCGGCUGCUGGCGGCGGGAUCCUCGAACCGUGCCCUGACACGCGCCGGUCGGCGACGCUAUAGCUUUGGGUACUUUCAGGACCCGUCUUGAAACACGGACCAAGGAGUCUAGCAUGUGCGCGAGUCAUUGGGACUUAUCGAAACCUAAAGGCGCAAUGAAAGUGAAGGCGCGCCUUGCGCGCGCCUGGGGAGGAUGGGCCGUCGCCCCGGCGCGGCCCCGCACUCCCGGGGCGUCUCGUUCUCAUCGCGAGAUGAGGCGCACCCAGAGCGUACACGCUG
rnacentral:rRNA from 1 species